UGGGGAAUUUUGGACAAUGGGCGAAAGCCUGAUCCAGCCAUGCCGCGUGAGUGAAGAAGGCCUUCGGGUUGUAAAGCUCUUUUAGUCGGAAGGAAAGAGUUGCAAUGAAUAAUUGUGAUUUAUGACGGUACCGACAGAAAAAGCACCGGCUAACUACGUGCCAGCAGCCGCGGUAAUACGUAGGGUGCGAGCGUUAAUCGGAAUUACUGGGCGUAAAGGGUGCGCAGGCGGUCUUGCAAGUCAGAUGUGAAAGCCCCGGGCUUAACCUGGGAAUUGCGUUUGAAACUACAAGACUAGAGUGCAGCAGAGGGGAGUGGAAUUCCAUGUGUAGCAGUGAAAUGCGUAGAGAUGUGGAAGAACACCGAUGGCGAAGGCGGCUCCCUGGGUUGACACUGACGCUCAUGCACGAAAGCGUGGGGAGCAAACA
rnacentral:rRNA from 1 species